GAUGAGCUAAACUGUAUGUGAUGAAAAGGUUCAAGUUUGGGGUUGCAUGGGGGAAAUUGAAAGGCAAGUGAGAAGCAUUGAGCUCAAAUGUGUGAAAAGAAAAAUUCAUGAGAAAAAGAAAAGAAAAGAAGAAAAUCAUGAAGAUGGACUCAAUAGAAAAAGAAAAAGGGAAAAACUUAGGAACGAGUGAGAGUGGUGAGGAAGAGAGUGGUGCUUAAAUGUUGAAUACUUUGAUAGCUCUCUUAACUCAAGGAUUUUGAAUUCCAGAAAAACCAAUUUUUCUUGUUAGCUUAACCUCAUUACAAGCCUUGGAAAAGUCCUUUUGAUGGCAUUUUCACGUAAAGAUGUUGAUUGUUUGAGAU
rnacentral:lncRNA from 1 species